rnacentral:miRNA from 1 species
UUCUAUUGGAACUCUUAAUCUAUG